UUAGUCACCUUUUUUUUUUACAUUUUAAAUUUAAAGUAGUUGUUAUCCAGUGGAUGCAUUAAACUGAGGAAAGUUAUAUGAAGGCUGGUGGGUGAAGAGGGGGAAAUAUAUGCGCAAAUAAAGAGUUUUCUUUCUGAAAAUAUAAUGUAUGUACAAUAUAAUAGUGGUGUCAUGCUUUGAAAAUAUGUUCCAGUGCAUCACUUAUCUGCAGUCAGUGCGUAUAAAAGUAAUUCUUUAUUUUUAUUUAUUUUUUUUAAAUCAGAGAAUUGUGACAAUCGAGGGAUAUUAAAGCAUCCUGACAUGGAAUUUCAGACUUUAUGAGGAGAAAAAAAUAAGCUUUUAGUGUUUAUAAGUGUGCGUGUUAUAUAAAAGAGUUAAAUAUCGGAAAGGAAAAUAAAUCUGUGACCCAAAAAAAAAAAAAAAAAGACAAGAAAAAUCCCGCCUGUUCUAAAGCAGGGCUCUCUCCAUGUGAAGGCUGCACCGUCCUCUCACAUUCCAGCGCGUCGCAAAAAAAGGGGAUUUAGAGCGACUUAUUUUCUUAAAACUGUCCUCCCGUCCGCAGAGCCAGCCAGUCUGCUCCCAUCAGCCCUCACACAGGCCUGCACCACAAAAUUCACCCAGAAUAUUUCACAGCAGAGUUCCCACCGAGAGCCACCGAGCAGCCGAGGACCUGCACCGGACCUGUAGGGCACAUAGAGCCAGACAGGAGGAUAAAUGACAGGGGAGGGGAGGGGGGGCACCAGAUACAGGCCGGUGGGUCACUUAUUUCACUCCUGCACGAGGAAGAUGUGAAAGAAGAUAAAAAUAUGAAGAUUUCGAUCAGUGGAAGCGGUUGAAUGGAUCAUAACCCUGGAUUUCUUUUAACGACCAAACAUGAGAUUUGAUCUGAGCAGAGGAAAAGUUUUGCUGUUUGGAGGAGGAGAGCUGCUGCACAUUCAGGAGUUUGUCCAACAAACAAACGGAUGCAAUUAAACACACUCGCCUUCAGAUCAUCAAUGAGGAAGCAAAGUCAAGACUGGUGGAAAAACCGGCAAGGACAAAUAUAAGACGGGAGAAGAGUCUGCUGCCUCAAGGUUAAACAUGAACUGUGUAAAGAGCUCGUCUUCACACAAUCUUGAUAGUCUUCUUCAAAGGCAUAUGUGUUUAUUUUAAAUGUUCUCCUUUUACAACUUGAUAUAACUCUUAAUCUUAAUAUAUUUUUGUAUCACUGCUGAAAAUUAAACAAAGGUUGUUAUAAUUUUCCUUUUUCUUCUCUGCCUUCACACUGUCUUGGAAGUAAUUAAGAAAUAAUUAGCAAAUAAAGACUAUCAUUGUCAACCACCAA